GACAUCUGUAACUUUAAUUUAAUACAAAUUGAUCAUAACUCAUAAAAUGGGCAACAUUUUAAAUAAAAAUACUGCUGGGGUGGCCCAGAUUCUGGUAGUUGAAGGGUUGGGGUAGGGCUGACAAUUCCUUUUGCCCAAGGGAGGCCCGGGUGGCGGGGGCAGCCAUUUUAAGAACCCCCUGUGUUUAGCUCUUCCGGCUACUUUGGGAUGGUGUGUUGUGUCAGAGACCCCAAGUGCAGAAUCUAGGCCCCAGGACUAGAAAGAAAAGUCAAGGCCGGGGAGACAUUUAGGCUCAGUCUUGCAGCCCACUCCUCCAGUUCCCACCUCUGGGCAGGGAUAGAGCCAAGGGGCAGGACAACCCUAGAUGUGGACUCCACCCUCUCCCGAGUUCUUCACGAUUGGAUGCUGUGGCAGAAAAACGCAGGUGGGGCUUGCUCCACCCACCCUAACUUCCUUCUAGGGAAAUGACAUUUCCCAGACUCCCUUGCAGCCAAGGUUCUGGAUCUGACUUAAGUUCCCCCAAACAGAAUCUCUUGUAAAAAUUUAGAUUUGGGAACUGAGUGAAGUGGGAGAGGGGCAGGCCUCAGGACAUCUAUUGGCUGGCACGGACCGUGGCAGAGGGAGCCUAGUUCUGCAGUCAGCAGCUUUCUGGCAUAGUGGCUUCCUGCAGAUGGGGGCAGCUUUCCUGGUCACAACAGACAUGAUGAAUCUGGCGCUGGGAGUUCCUGGAAAUUCAGCAGAGUCUGCUUCUCCAGCUCUUCCAACAAUUUUGCAACAGGAUCCUAACUGAGAUAGAUGCCAAGUCUGACAAGGGGUCCAGCCAACAGCCCCUCCCAGUGCUUGGGUCCUAAUUACAAC
rnacentral:lncRNA from 1 species